AUAAACAUAUUAAUGCUUUAUAAAAAGUUAGAAGCUUUUUUUAG
rnacentral:tRNA from 1 species